UACGUGAGGGGCGAACGUUGUUCGGUGUCACUGGGCUUAAAGGGUGCGUAGGUGGUUGCGUAAGUAAGGUGUGAAAUCCCUCGGCUUACCCGGGGAAUUGCAUUUUAUACUGCGUGGCUUGAGGACUAAAGGGGAAAAGGGAACUCCAGGUGUAGCGGUGAAAUGCGUAGAUAUCUGGAGGAACACCAGUGGCGAAAGCGCAUGACUGGGCCACAACUGACGCUGAGGAACGAAAGCCAGGGGAGCGAAAGGG
rnacentral:rRNA from 1 species